rnacentral:tRNA from 1 species
GCACCGUUGGUCUAAUGGUUAGGAUAUCUGCCUUCCAGAAGCAGAUGGUCCGGGUUCAAUUCCCGGACGGUGCA